rnacentral:piRNA from 1 species
UGAAUACCUUUUAUUUAUUGUGCCGUGA